CUUAACCUGAAUUUAACCGCCGACCACCUCAGGUCUGACCAGCUGAUGCCAUCACCACCUGACUGUGCAGAGAGCUGGGCCACUCACCGAAGUCUCCAUGCAAAGACAGAGGGGCUGGGCAGAGGGUGGUUCUGAGAACUUUCGGAUACAGGGGAGCUCCCGAUCCAGCGCCUCAUAUUCCGAGAUGACCUGCCGCAGGCUGUCACAGGUCGCCGCGGGGCCAGGGAGUACUCACGAGGACUUGGCAGGCUUGCCCAGGCUCCGAGACAUGGACUCCUCCAUAGACUCGAGGUCAACAAGGAAGGAUCCUGGUAGCAAAGGAACCCAGUGUCACCUGCCAAGAACCCUUUGAGGCCACAACUCUUUCCAGAAGAGAAUCACCCGGCGGUGUGCACACCACUCUGGAAAGUUAGAUCUCAGGGGCUGGUCUCUGAGAUAGCAUCUGGAAGUUACAGAGUCCACCCUUCCAUUGUGGCUCUGCGACUGUUUCCUGGCUAGGUGCAGCCUGAAGGGAGCCAGCAAGAGAAAACACACUGCACCAGAGUUUUGUUUUGUUUUGUUUUAAGAUUUAUUUCAUGUAU
rnacentral:lncRNA from 1 species